rnacentral:ncRNA from 20 species
UUAAGAAUCCGGCUUUCGGGUGCUUCGUGAUAUAUCUUAUUAAACGAGGUGAAAAGGGAAUCAGGUGAAACUCCUGAACAGACCCACUGCUGUGAGCUUCAUAAAACUUUUCGGAUAAAUUCUACACUUGUCCACUGUCCGUAUAGGAUGGGAAGGACUUCCGGAAGGGAAGCGAGUCAGAAGACCUGCCUGCAAAGUCUGCAAUCUA